rnacentral:snRNA from 14 species
AUACUCCUUGGCAGGGGAGAUGCCAUGAUCAACAAAGAGGUUUUCCCGUAAGGUCAGGCUGGUCCCUUCCUUGCACCCCAAGCAGGUUGACCCUUGCGAUUUCCCCAAGGUGGUUUUCUCAGGGUGAGACCUGUCCGUUGGACCCUGCGGCAGGCUGACCCCUGCAAGUUUCCCUAGUGCAGGAAACUCAAUUACACGAUUUGUGGUAAUGGGGGGCUAUGUUUACGUUUUUCCCUU